rnacentral:piRNA from 1 species
GGUGGUGGCGGUGGAGGUGGAGGUGGUGGU